ACUGGCGACCGGCGCACGGGUGAGUAACACGUAUCCAACCUGCCUCAUACUCGGGGAUAGCCUUUCGAGAGAAAGAUUAAUAUCCGAUAGCAUAUAUUUCCCGCAUGGGUUUUAUAUUAAAGAAAUUCGGUAUGAGAUGGGGAUGCGUUCCAUUAGUUUGUUGGGGGGGUAACGGCCCACCAAGACUACGAUGGAUAGGGGUUCUGAGAGGAAGGUCCCCCACAUUGGAACUGAGACACGGUCCAA
rnacentral:rRNA from 1 species